rnacentral:rRNA from 1 species
UACGUAGGGUGCAAGCGUUGUCCGGAAUUAUUGGGCGUAAAGAGCUCGUAGGCGGUCUGUCGCGUCUGCUGUGAAAACUCAGGGCUUAACCCUGAGCUUGCAGUGGGUACGGGCAGACUAGAGUGCGGUAGGGGGGACUGGAAUUCCUGGUGUAGCGGUGAAAUGCGCAGAUAUCAGGAGGAACACCGGUGGCGAAGGCGGCUUCC